UUGGUGGCACUGAUGCCUACAUGCAGUCAACACGCUUACACGGAAGACCUAAGUGAACUGCGGAUGUGUUUUACCGGGUCCACCUGAGAAACGCUGAUAUCCCCGCUAAAGUAAACCCGCCGGCGUCCUCCGACCAGGUCUGAUUCAUGGAAGGACAACGUCUGUCCAAGAGGCCGGCAAAGACACGCAGCGACCCAGAGAUGUAGCCUGCGUUAGACUCUCCUUAUUGAAAGGAACCAGCUUAAGUGAACUGGCUCAGCUUUGUGAAGACUGAAACCUGCUUGUUGGGUCUGGGACCAGAUGAACAACGCAGCCGAAGAACAUGUUUUAAAAGUUUCUAUUUGAAAUCAAGUCGAAAAAAGAAAAGAUGGAACAAAAAAAGAGGAAAACUCCCUCUCCCUUCUCUGCAGGGUAUAAUGUAGACAGUUG